rfam:Brassica rapa chromosome A10, whole genome shotgun sequence.
AGCCAUGUGGUGAGCACAAAGCGAACUAUUCUUUCGCCUUUUACUAAAGAAUACCGUGUGCUCUCCACGCUAAGUGGCAUACGCCUAUUUUUGGAGGGUCCCACUUUCGAGUGGGCCC